CUCUUUCUCUCAAGGAAGUCAAAAAACACCUGCAGCCUUACUGUCCCCUUGGAAACAAGAUGAACAUCUACAUUUUCUAGAGUGGGACAAGAAUCUCUGUUCAUAUUUAUGUCCCAUGCAUUUGCACGUGGCCGGACAAAGGACUUUGCUUCUGCCAGCACAUCUGUCUUCAGAUAUGAGAGGAAACAGACACAACCUGGAGGCGGCAAAGAAGCAGCUCUUUCUCAAGUGACCUCCUCUAUCUCCCUACUUCCUGGCUAAUGGGGCAGCCUUGAUCCUUGGGAAUCCAGGACAGAUAUCCACUCGUGACAAACUAGCUGGAAGAAUGACAACCAAUCAGGUUCCAAGCACCACUGGAUGUGAACCACAGAAUUUCCUCCUCUCCUUGUGGAAUGUCAGCUUACGUCUGACAAAAAAUGUAAAACUGAGAGAGUUACAAUCUUAAGGAGGAGUCAAGCUAAAGCAGAAAGAAUCACCUACUCUGGACUCCAGCAUGACUGCUGAGCUCAAAUAUAUAUAUAGAGAGAAAGAACCACAAACUUGAAGAUGGAUAUCAGCUACAGACUUUCCUGAGUCAGAUCAAUCUUAUCAAUGUCCAUCACAGAUAUUUUGUAGAACGGUGGAUCCUGGCAGAGUCUCACAGAUGCUUCUGAGACAACAUUUGCUUUCAAAAAAUGAACCACACACAUCCUAAAGAUCUCAGCCACUUCCCAUGUUUCAUUUUAUGUUACAGCAAACAUCACAACAAUCAUUCCUACAGAUCACCACUGCAUGUGAUCAAUAAAAUAGUUUUUGCAACAAUGG
rnacentral:lncRNA from 1 species